rnacentral:rRNA from 1 species
UACAUGGGGUGCAAACGUUGCUCGGAAUUAUUGGGCGUAAAGCGCACGUAGGCGGUUUGUUAAGUCGGAUGUGAAAUCCCUCGGCUCAACUGAGGAAGUGCAUCCGAAACUGGCAGGCUUGAGUACCGGAGAGGAUGGUGGAAUUCCCCAAGUAGAGGUGAAAUUCGUAGAUAUGGGGAGGAACACCGGUGGCGAAGGCGACCAUCUGGACGGAUACUGACGCUGAGACGCGAAAGCGUGGGUAGCAAACAGG